rnacentral:rRNA from 1 species
UACAGAGGGGGCAAGCGUUGUUCGGAAUUACUGGGCGUAAAGGGCGCGUAGGCGGCCUUCUAAGUCGAACGUGAAAUCCCCGGGCUCAACCCGGGAACUGCGUCCGAUACUGGAAGGCUUGAAUUCGGGAGAGGAUAGCGGAAUUCCCAGUGUAGGAGGUGAAAUUCGUAGAUAUUGGGAAGAACACCGGUGGCGAAGGCGGCUAUCUGGACCGACAGUUGACGCUGACGGCGCGAAACGUGGGGAGCAAAGCAGG